rnacentral:tRNA from 1 species
GGAGUGAUGUUCGAAUCGUUAAGGAAAUUGACUUGAAACCAAUUUGGCUGUGCCCACAUAGGUUCGAAUCCUGCUCGCUUCA